rnacentral:rRNA from 1 species
UCGAACGGCAGCACGGAGCUUGCUCUGGUGGCGAGUGGCGAACGGGUGAGUAAUAUAUCGGAACGUACCCUGGAGUGGGGGAUAACGUAGCGAAAGUUACGCUAAUACCGCAUACGAUCUAAGGAUGAAAGUGGGGGAUCGCAAGACCUCAUGCUCGUGGAGCGGCCGAUAUCUGAUUAGCUAGUUGGUAGGGUAAAAGCCUACCAAGGCAUCGAUCAGUAGCUGGUCUGAGAGGACGACCAGCCACACUGGAACUGAGACACGGUCCAGGCUCCUACGGGAGGCAGCAGUGGGGAAUUUUGGACAAUGGGCGAAAGCCUGAUCCAGCAAUGCCGCGUGAGUGAAGAAGGUCUUCGGAUUGUAAAGCACUUUAAGUUGGGAGGAAGGGCAGUAAAUUAAUACUUUGCUGUUUUGACGUUACCGACAGAAUAAGCACCGGCUAACUCUGUGCCAGCAGCCGCGGUAAU